rnacentral:rRNA from 1 species
UACGAAGGGGCUAGCGUUGUUCGGAAUCACUGGGCGUAAAGCGCACGUAGGCGGAUCUUUAAGUCAGGGGUGAAAUCCCGAGGCUCAACCUCGGAACUGCCUUUGAUACUGGGGAUCUCGAGUCCGGGAGAGGUGAGUGGAAACUGCGAGUGUAGAGGUGAAAUUCGUAGAUAUUCGCAAGAACACCAGUGGCGAAGGCGGCUCACUGGCCCGGAACUGA